rnacentral:lncRNA from 8 species
AUGGUAGAACAACGGAAACAAACCGGGAACGUCAAAACUCAACAGUGCCUGCAGCAAUGGGACAAAUCCACACAUGUAGUAAGAAGAGUCAGAGCCACAAAAACAGAAAGAAAAGCUGAGCUUUCCCCACUGCUCCCGCUCCAACCCCACCAUCACCAGAGAGAUGUAAACUCUAAGAGGCCUGUGGGAAAUGGAGCUAGCAUGAGAGAACCACAAAGGUGGCCAUUCAGAACAGAGCUGCCCUGUGAGCCCCCGCUCUCGAGCCCCCGUUCUCAUAAUCUCCUCACACACGCACACUUUCAUGCAAGAAUACACACACACACAAACACACACCUUACCCUAUCCCUAGCUGCAUCUCUUAGCGCAAACUACAUGGGCAAGGUGAAAGUCAACUCCUGUAAAUUCAGGAAAUGUUUUCAAGUACAGCACAGGUCAUGGAUUGAAAGUUGACCAUAAUGUGAGGAUAUUUCAAAUCAUGAAUUUGUUACCCAAGAUGAAUGGUUCACACACCAUUCCCAGCCCCGUUGAAUGGAUCCGAGGGUUCUGGUUAUCCCUAAUCUGCAUCUUACAGUAAAUACCCUCCUCUGAAGCAGAGGUUAGCCACUGAACCCUAUCUAUCCCCUUUGGCUAUACACAUCAUUAAAUAAUAGAAUGCUACUCUGAGUGUACAAAACAUUAGGAACACCUGCUCUUUCCUUGACAUAGACUGACCAGGUGAAUCCAGGUGAAAGCUAUGAUCCCUUAUUGAUGUCACUUAAAUCCACUUCAAUCAGUGUAGAUGAAGGGGAGGAGACAGGUUAAAGAAGGAUUUUAAAGCCUUGACACAAUUGAGACAUGGAUUGUGUAUGUGGGCCAUUCAGAGGGGGAAUGUGCAAGACAAAAGAUUUAAGUGCCUUUGAACAGGGUUUGAAGAGGUGCCAGGCCAACCGGUUUGUGUUAAGAACUGCAACGCUGCUGGGUUUUUCACGCUCAACAGUUUCCUGUGUGUAUCAAGAAUGGUUCACCACCCAAAGGAUAUCCAGCCAACUUGAUACAACUGUGGAAAGCAUUGGAGUCAUCAUGGGCCAGUAUCCCUCUGGAACACUUGACACCUUGUAGAGUCCAUGGCCCGACGAAUUGAGGCUGUUCUGAGGGCAAAAGGGGUUGCAACUCAAUAUUAACAAGGUGUUCUUAAUGUCUUGUACACUACUGUAUGUGUACAUCUGAUGUGAGAAAACUCUGAAAAGCUAAAUAUUUGUGGUUUUCAAAGUAUAAAGCAGGUACACUAUACUAUGAACGUGUGAAUAAACUUCAGUUGGGUUUCAAAAUAAGUCAAUAUAAUUCACUCGCUGUGAGUUUGCUGCCAUUUCCGGCGGUGCUUGCACACACUGGCUAAAGUGGUUGUAUAAAAUAAUUGGAGAGUGACAUGAGUGACUAACACAACAUGGAAAAGUUAACUCAAAAAUGCAACGUGUACCACCUUCUUCCCAUGAAAUUCUCAGAACUGCAAAUGUUUGCAAAAAAAGGUUUGCGUCACCAGGAAGCUUCACUCACUUAUCAAUUCAAGUGGAGCAUCGUAGCAUCCGGUGGGAAAAACAUUUCCAUUUUCUUUCUGUUUCAACAGGCCCGUUUUCCAGAUCCUUCAGCUGAUAUUGAUAAAUGACCAUGUCAACCAGAUAACUGAGAAUACCGACUAGAUUUUCCUUGGAAAUUAUAUUCCUUGAAAAUGAAGUAUUUGUGCUCUCUCUACUUGGUUACAGUGAAAACACUCAUUGUAGCAAUCUUAGUCUUGGGAAUUAUUCAGCAAUAUGGAUUUGCAAUGAAAGAUUAAACAUUCAAUUUUUUCAGGCCUGAGAACAUUACGAAAAACAUACUUACUUAAAACCUCUUAAGGAUCCGCCCCUUUUUUUCAUUUUUCACCUAAAAUUACACACCCAAAUCUAACUGCCUGUAGCUCAGGCCCUGAAGCAAGGAUAUGCAUAUUCUUGAUACCAUUUGAAAGGAAACACUUAGAAGUUUGUGGAAAUGUGAAACGAAUGUAGGAGAAUAAAACACAUUAGAUCUGGUAAAAGAUAAUACAAAGAAAAAACCAACCGUUUGUGGAAAUGUGAAAGGAAUGUAGGAGAAUAUAACACAUUAGAUCUGGUACAAGAUAAUACAAAGAAAAAAAACGACUGUAUUUUUCUGUACCGUCAUCUUCUAAAUGCAAGCGAUUGGGCAUAAUUAAUUAUUCUAGCAUAAUUCAUUAUUCUAGCCCAGGUGCAAUUUAGACUUUGGCCUCUAGAUGGCAGCACCGCAUGAACAAAGUUUUAGAGUGAUCCAGUGAACUCUUGCAUAUCUAUUCAAAAUGUUUUAUCAAGACUGCCCAAAUGUGCCUAAUUGGUUUAUUCAUACAUUUUCAAGUUCAUAAUUGUGCUCUCUCCUCAAACAAUAGCAUGGUAUUAUUUCACUGUAAUAGCUACUGUAAAUUGGACAGUGCAGUUAGAUUAACAAGAAUUUAAGCUUUCUACACAUAUCAGAUAUGUCUAUGUCCUGGGAUUUUUUGUUUUGUUUCUUAUAACCUCAUUCUAAUCACAUUAGCAUACGUUAGCUCAACCGUCCUGCGGACGGGACACCGUCUCUGUAUAGAUCCUUAUUAUUCUUUGUUCCUAUAUGGAACAUAAGGCUUUCACAAGAAAGCGCCACUGCUGCUGAUAUUUAGACUUUUUUGGGAUGUUUUUCCAUGACAGGCCACUGUCCUUCAUCUCAUGUCCACGGUUCUUCAUCAGGUUUCCUUUGGGUUACCAAAAACAGUGACAAGUUCUGAUGAAAGAAGAGAGAACCCAGUUAGCCACUCUAUUUUAAACAUAAACAGUAAAUAAUAUAGUAAUAGCAAUAUAAAUACACAACAUGGUGAUGUGGCCGUUGACACUUUGCUUCUUGAAAGUCCAAUAUCGUGAAAACUUGACAGCAAAACAUUUUAGGACUGUAUCAAGUGUGGACUAAGGAAAAAAAUAUUAAAUAUGUUUUUUUGAGUGGAGUAUCCCUUUAAAGGCCCAGUGCAGUCAAAAACGUGAUUUCCUGUGUUUUAUAUAUAUUUCCACACUAUGAGGUUGGAAUAUUACUGCGAAAUUUUGAAAGAUAAUGAUAAUGCCCAUU